rnacentral:rRNA from 1 species
GAGCACGUAGGUGGGUUUGUAAGUCAGAUGUGAGAGCCUUCUGUUCAACGGAAGAAUUGCAUCUGAAACUGCGAGUCUUGAGUGUAGGAGGGGAGAAUGGAACUUCUGGUGGAGCGGUGAAAUGCGUAGAUAUCAGAAGGAACGCCGGCGGCGAAAGCGAUUCUCUGGCCUAUUACUGACACUCAGUGUGCGAAAGCUAGGGGAGCAAACGGGAUUAGAUACCCCGGUAGUCCUAGCCGUAAACGAUGGGCACUAAGUAGAGGGG